AAAAGGGGAAACCCUACCUGUAGAACUUACAUCAGUGAUGUGAUUUCUGGUAGAGAGGCGACUGUUUGUUUGUUCGCUGUUCGUGACUUGAUUUUAAAUUUGCUACUAGAUUCAUUAUUAAAUAAUCCUAGUUACAUAGUUUGGUUACGCACUAGUUUUGAUUAUUUAACCAUCAUAAGUUAUUCAAAGUUUAAGCUUUCAGGCUACUCUCGUUCCCGCAUCCUGAUCUACUUGUACUAGCCUAGCAGGAGCCUUCCCCCAAGAAGCUACAGCAGCACUCAUCUGAGUCAUCCAGCAUAAUGAAAGCUACAAUUAUACUGGUCCGGAAGGAGUCGGGCGGUGGGAAGACGGCAGUAACUGAUGUUUUGUUUGAAACUGCUGGCGAGUCGGGUGAAGAUGAAAGCGCAGAGAGUGAGGAGUGGUUUACAGUGGCGAAAAAGAAAGGAAACAAGAGAAGUUAAAGUUGUGGUGGAAAGCCCUAGACUCAUUUUUAGUUGGAAUGAGGGUUUUGGACCAAUGUAACCUGGGAUAUCCGUUUGAAGUGUCGAUAAAUGUAAUGGAAGCGUUGGGUGAAGUGAGGUCAAUGGAAGUCACAAGAAGUGUGCUUAUUUAGGUUUUUAGUGUGUCCGAAGAGCAGAAGUGCCUUAAGAAGAUAUAUUUGUGGAAUCUUUAAUGUAGGAUCUUCAAAGCUGUGCACCUAUCAAGGGGGUUACCACUGGGGUGGAGCAUAAAGUGUGUGCAGAGGUAGUACCUGAGGACAUAUGGACUUAUGUAGAGUGGUUGGGGCACGUUGACUGACCUGUAUGGUAGAUGGAGUGAAGACAUUCUAUUUUUGUAUGAUGUCAUCGCCCAAUGGUUAUUUGUUUCUAUAGUUUACCACCCGUACAGUAGGUGCCGGCAUGCAUCUCCAAUGAAUAUUUGUGGACUGCCAUAAUACCAUACAUUUUUUUCUGCAUGUUGAUGAUUGAUUUAUGGUGAUCAGUGUUGUAAAGUAACAAAAUAAAAAAUAC
rnacentral:lncRNA from 1 species